UGCAUCGGCCGGGAAUCGAACCCGGGCCGCCCACGUGGCAUGCGAGCAUUCUACCACUGAACCACCGAUGG
rnacentral:tRNA from 1 species